rnacentral:rRNA from 1 species
GGAGUUUGGACCGUGUCUCAGUUCCAAUGUGGGGGACCUUCCUCUCAGAACCCCUACUGAUCGUAGGCUAGGUGGGCCGUUACCCCGCCUACUACCUAAUCAGACGCAUCCCCAUCCCUUAGCGGUAAACCUUUGGUUCAACUCAGAUGUCAUCGUCGAACAACAUAGGGUAUUAAUCCGACUUUCGCCGGGCUAUCCCCUACUAAGGGGAAGGUUGGAUACGCGUUACUCACCCGUGCGCCGGUCGUCAUCAGCAGGAGCAAGCUCCCGCCAUGUUACCCCUCGACUUGCAUGUGUUAAGCCUGUAGCUAGCGUUCAUC